UACGGAGGGUGCAAGCGUUAUCCGGAUUUACUGGGUUUAAAGGGUGCGCAGGCGGAUAUGUAAGUCAGUGGUGAAAUCUCCGGGCUUAACCCGGAAACUGCCGUUGAUACUAUAUAUCUUGAAUGCCGUGGAGGUAAGCAGAAUAUGUCAUGUAGCGGUGAAAUGCUUAGAUAUGACAUAGAAUACCUAUUGCGAAGGCAGCUUACUACACGGAGAUUGACGCUCAUGCACGAAAGCGUGGGGAUCAAACAGG
rnacentral:rRNA from 1 species